CGGGGAUUUCGCAGACUCCCCGCCCAAGACGCUGCAAGCGUCCAAGUUCUGC
rnacentral:ncRNA from 1 species